AAAUGCGUAGAGAUCUGGAGGAAUACCGGUGGCGAAGGCGGCCCCCUGGACAAAGACUGACGCUCAGGUGCGAAAGCGUGGGGAGCAAACAGGAUUAGAUACCCUGGUAGUCCACGCCGUAAACGAUGUCGAUUUGGAGGUUGUGCCCUUGAGGCGUGGCUUCCGGAGCUAACGCGUUAAAUCGACCGCCUGGGGAGUACGGCCGCAAGGUUAAAACUCAAAUGAAUUGACGGGGGCCCGCACAAGCGGUGGAGCAUGUGGUUUAAUUCGAUGCAACGCGAAGAACCUUACCUGGUCUUGACAUCCACAGAACUUUCCAGAGAUGGA
rnacentral:rRNA from 1 species